rnacentral:rRNA from 1 species
AUGCUUUUGACGGGUAACGGGGAAUUAGGGUUCGACUCCGGAGAGGGAGCCUGAGAAACGGCUACCACAUCCAAGGAAGGCAGCAGGCGCGCAAAUUACCCAAUCCCAACAUGGGGAGGUAGUGACAAGAAAUACUGAUAUAGGGUCCUAUAGGAUCUUGUAAUUGGAAUGAGUACAAUUUAAACCCAUUAACGAGGAACAACUAGAGGGCAAGUCUGGUGCCAGCAGCCGCGGUAAUUCCAGCUCUAGUAGCAUACAUUAAAAUUGUUGCAGUUAAAACGCCCGUAGUUGAAGUUUGGCCCUGGUCAACUGGUCUGCCUCACCGCGAGUACUGGUAUGAUUGGGUCUUUUUUCUUGGUUUACUAUAUGCUCAGCAAUGGGUGUAUUUGUAUAACUAGGACUUUUACUUUGAAAAAAUUAGAGUGUUUAAAGCAGGCUUUUGCUCGAAUACCUUAGCAUGGAAUAAUGGAAUAUGACGAGUGGUUGUUUUUCAUUGGUUUUCACGACUACCGUAAUGAUUGAUAGGGAUGGUCGGGGGCAUCGGUAUUCGAUC